AAGCCGAUCGGACGCGUUCUAAGGUUCCGCGAUCCGACUUUUUUUUUUUUUUUAGCUUUAGGUUGGGUUAGGUUUUAGCUAAAUAGCAAUAACUUGACACAUAUAUUUAGACGUUUUUUACAAUUUAAUUGCACAAGAAAAAAGGGGGAAAAGAGACCGUCUGACGUUGCAUACACGGGGGGAAGGGUCUAGGCGAAUUACCAUAGGGCAACUUUUUUGCUUCGACCCUUCCCGCUAUUUCAAAAUUGGUAAAAACGGCCACAUUAAUAUUGAACAAAAAAUACUAGAAAUUAAAAAAAGAAAAAUACCAGAAAAUUUAAAUGCCAAAAAUACCAGAAAAUUUAAAUGCCCUAAAAAAUCCACCUAUCGAUAGGCAGUAAAGUCCCACCACUGCUUACAACUAUCAUCUCUACUAUUUAUAGCGUGGGUGAAGCCAGCAAAGGAGAAGCGUGAAAUGGAACCGACAAAGAAGCAUAGAGACCUACUAACUGAAGGUCAUCAAGAGGAUUUACUGGCAGCAUUUGGCCGGCGUCCCCGGAAUUCUCGGAAGCGUCAUCAAUGAGUUCUUGGAAGUGGACGCCUCGGCCCAACGCACAUACAUAUUGCGGCGUCACAUAUUUGGCACGCAGCAUUUGGGUUGCAUGCAGUGGCUGUGCCAGCAACAAUGGCGUCCAACAGGAAGAUGUCGCCGGCGGCAAAUUGGCAGCAGCGUCGGCCGAAGUUGGCGUCGACGUCGGCAGCAGCAUCGCCUCAGACGGGCGUCGGUGUCGGCGUCUCACGUAGGCCGCGCCGUUUCCAAGAAAUGUUGCUGUGGAACAGCGUCGGCGGAGACAUGGCCCGCAAUAUAAGCUACAUAUUCUCGGGAAUUAUCAGUUCCAGCUAGCGCCGAGGGAAAGAAAACAUGUUUGCCACAUACAUGCAGGCAGAUUUAGAGGAAAUCUGUGAGCGCGGCUGAGUGAACAUGAGGUCAUCGCCGUGGUCAGGGUGCGUGUCCCAAAAAGGAAGAUCAUCAGGAACGAAUCGUAGGCAAUACAGGUGAGUCAAAAAUUGCAGUGUACAGAGACAGACGGAGACAGACAGAGACAGAC
rnacentral:misc_RNA from 1 species